UGCCAGCCGCCGCGGUAAUACGGAGGGUGCGAGCGUUAAUCGGAAUUACUGGGCGUAAAGCGCACGCAGGCGGUUUGUUAAGCUAGAUGUGAAAGCCCCGGGCUCAACCUGGGAUGGUCAUUUAGAACUGGCAGACUAGAGUCUUGGAGAGGGGAGUGGAAUUCCAGGUGUAGCGGUGAAAUGCGUAGAUAUCAGGAGGAACACCGGUGACGAAAGCGGCUUUCUGGACAAACACUGACGCUGAGAUACGAAAGCGUGGGGAGCAAACAGGAUUAGGUA
rnacentral:rRNA from 1 species